rnacentral:lncRNA from 1 species
UUUGUAAUAACCCUAAGCAACCAAAUUGGCUUGUCCCUCGUAACAGAGCCAAAAACAUCCAGUUGGAAUCUGAAUACCCGACAAGUAUUAAGUACUGAAUUGUCAUUAGGUCAGGUAUUAGAAUCCGCACAAUCUGCUUUCAAACUGAUUGAGAUCAUCUUGUUGUGCAAUCACUCAAUCUGGAUCCCUUUAAGAGCUUCUGAAUCUUCCUUAAGUUUCAGUUCAGAUUGAAACCCAAAGAAAUAACAUCCUUUCACAAUAGCUCUCCUAGUCUUCACUUCACCAUUCGGAACAUUUAAGAACUAGAACCCGGGAAUGAAAUUAACUCCAAACCCUUUGUCUAAGCAAAUACGUUCUUGAUAUGUCCUGUUCAUCUCCAAUGUAGUGUUGAGUUUGACUAGUGAAUCCACCAAAUGCUCCCCCUAAGCUGUUGCUGGGAUUUCUUUAAUAAUCCUUAUCCUUGCAAAGAGAUUCUGCUUGGAUCUGAAUUAUUAUUAUACCACUAAUAUCACCUUUAACAGCUUGGAGCAAGGUGUCGUUCAAUGUCCUGUCCAGACUUACAAUCACCUUCUGUUGAAUAAUCAUAAUCACCCUGUAGACUGUAGACUCCAUUGAGUAGCCGAGGAAAAUAUUCUUUGAGCUUUAGAUGC